rnacentral:rRNA from 1 species
GCACCUUCCGAUACGGCUACCUUGUUACGACUUUACCCCAGUCAUGAACCCUGCCGUGGCAGUCGCCCUCCUUGCGGUUAGGCUAACGGCUUCUGGCAAAACCCACUCCCAUGGUAUGACGGGCGGUGUGUACAAGACCCGGGAACGUAUUCACCGCGACAUUCUGAUCCGCGAUUACUAGCGAUUCCAGCUUCACGUAGUCGAGUUGCAGACUACGAUCCGGACUACGAUGCAUUUUCUGAGAUUAGCUCCCCCUCGCGGGUUGGCAACCCUCUGUAUGCACCAUUGUAUGACGUGUGAAGCCCUACCCAUAAGGGCCAUGAGGACUUGACGUCAUCCCCACCUUCCUCCGGUUUGUCACCGGCAGUCUCUUUAGAGUGCUCUUGCGUAGCAACUAAAGACAAGGGUUGCGCUCGUUGCGGGACUUAACCCAACAUCUCACGACACGAGCUGACGACAGCCAUGCAGCACCUGUGUUCACUUUCCCUUACGGGCACCUAAUGUAUCUCUACUUCGUUAGUGACAUGUCAAGGGUAGGUAAGGUUUUUCGCGUUGCAUCGAAUUAAUCCACAUCAUCCACCGCUUGUGCGGGUCCCCGUCAAUUCCUUUGAGUUUUAAUCUUGCGACCGUACUCCCCAGGCGGCUGACUUCACGCGUUAGCUACG